rnacentral:rRNA from 1 species
UACGUAGGGCGCGAGCGUUGUCCGGAAUUACUGGGCGUAAAGAGCUCGUAGGUGGUUUGUCGCGUUGUCCGUGAAAACUCACAACUCAAUUGUGGGCGUGCGGGCGAUACGGGCAGACUGGAGUACUGCAGGGGAGACUGGAAUUCCUGGUGUAGCGGUGGAAUGCGCAGAUAUCAGGAGGAACACCGGUGGCGAAGGCGGCUUCCUGGCCUGUAACUGACGCUGAGACGCGAAAGCGUGGGGAGCGAACCGG